rnacentral:rRNA from 1 species
ACUUCUUUAUCACCGAGUGCUUGCACUCACCGAUAAAGAGUUGAGUGGCGAACGGGUGAGUAACACUUGGGCAACCUGCCCAAAAGAGGGGGAUAACACUUGGAAACAGGUGCUAAUACCGCAUAACCAUAGUUACCGCAUGGUAACUAUGUAAAAGGUGGCUAUGCUACCGCUUUUGGAUGGGCCCUCGACGCAUUAGCUAGUUGGUGGGGUAAAGGCUUACCAAGGCAAUGAUGCGUAGCCGAACUGAGAGGUUGAUCGGCCACAUUGGGACUGAGACACGGCCCAAACUCCUACGGGAGGCAGCAGUAGGGAAUCUUCCACAAUGGGCGAAAGCCUGAUGGAGCAACGCCGCGUGGGUGAAGAAGGUCUUCGGAUCGUAAAACCCUGUUGUUAGAGAAGAAAGUGCGUGAGAGUAACUGUUCACGUUUCGACGGUAUCUAACCAGAAAGCCACGGCUAACUACGUGCCAGCAGCCGCGGUAAUACGUAGGUGGCAAGCGUUAUCCGGAUUUAUUGGGCGUAAAGAGAACGCAGGCGGUCUUUUAAGUCUGAUGUGAAAGCCUUCGGCUUAACCGGAGUAGUGCAUUGGAAACUGGGAGACUUGAGUGCAGAAGAGGAGAGUGGAACUCCAUGUGUAGCGGUGAAAUGCGUAGAUAUAUGGAAGAACACCAGUGGCGAAAGCGGCUCUCUGGUCUGUAACUGACGCUGAGGUUCGAAAGCGUGGGUAGCAAACAGGAUUAGAUACCCUGGUAGUCCA